UUAGAAUCAAGCUUAGGUAUGCUGAAAGCAACCCACAAUAUGCUGAAUCCAGCAUUUUCUUGGUCAAAUUCCUACAACUUCAGGUUUAGGCAGCAAUUCAUGGCAGUGGUGGUAGUAGAACUUCUGUUUCUGAGGGCGUGGAAGCAUCUGCCAUUUAUAUUCACUUUAAGGCAGCAGCGGGUGAGCCCUGUAUGAAGAUUCAGUUUAGAGUCUCAUCUUUUGCAAUUCACUUACUUGAGAAGGGAACACAGGUUAGUUUUUUCUUCUAUAUCACAUGAUUCUACCCAUAAAAAAUCAAAAAAAGAAAAAAAAAAGAAAAAAAGAAAAGAAAAGAAGACAAGCUGAUACAGAUGCACUCAGAAAUUGUAUGUGUCAUAUGUAGGCCC